rnacentral:rRNA from 1 species
AACGAACGCUGGCGGCAUGCCUAACACAUGCAAGUCGAACGAGACCUUCGGGUCUAGUGGCGCACGGGUGCGUAACGCGUGGGAACCUGCCCUUAGGUUCGGAAUAACUCCCCGAAAGGGGUGCUAAUACCGGAUAAUGUCUUCGGACCAAAGAUUUAUCGCCUUUGGAUGGGCCCGCGUUGGUUUAGCUAGUUGGUAGGGUAAAAGCCUACCAAGGCGACGAUCCAUAGCUGGUCUGUGAGGAUGAUCAGCCACACUGGGACUGAGACACGGCCCAGACUCCUACGGGAGGCAGCAGUGGGGAAUAUUAGGCAAGGGGCGAAAGCCUGAUCCAGCAAUGCCGCGUGAGUGAUGAAGGCCGUAGUGUUGUAAAGCUCUUUUACCCGGGAUGAUAAUGACAGUACCGGGAGAAUAAGCACCGGCUAACUCCGUG